ACCUCAAAAGACCACACAAUGAAAAGAAAACACAUGAAAGGACAAAAUAAAUGUUGUGUUAGUUCUAAUUGUUGACUUACUAAACACUUACAUAAUCCCUUUAACAUCCUCCACAUAGAUUGCAUGAAACUUCACGGUAAGAUUGGUAGAAGAUGUGGACUAAUGUACUUUACUCUUUAGAUUUUUUUUAAGAUAUAUUAAAUCGUUUUGUCAGUACUCCAUCUUUCAAGUAAAUGGCGUUGCUCUUCCUCCUUGCUUCACAUCUAUUGGUCACAGCCUGUGACUCACAGUGAUGUCGAGGACCAUUACGAUAGAAAACAAAUGCGAAUACCCUAUUUGGCCUGCAAGCUAUGCCUACGCCGGAGAGCUGCAGCCAACGGGUUUCCUUCUGGAGAAGGGAUAUACGCGGCGUACUAUCAACGUCACGUCUUCAUGGAUAGGUUAUAUUUGGGGUAGGACGCUCUGUACGACCAACUCAUCAGGUGGAUUCUCAUGCGUCACCGGAGACUGCAACUCAGGGGAAAUCGAGUGCUCCGGUCCUUCCCAGCAUCUGGCAACUUUAGCCGAGUUUAACCUCGCUUAUGAAAAUAAGAAUGACUACUACGACGUCAACGUCAUCAAUGGUUACAACCUUCCUUUGCUUGUGACACCUGAGAAUAAAAAGUGUAAAAGCAUCGGAUGCGUUGUUGAGUUGAACAAGACGUGUCCAUCGGAGCUGAGGUUAUACAAUAGCGAUACCGGAUCGAAGGAUCCGUAUGCUUGCAGGACUUCGUGUCAGAAAAGCCCCUCGCCGGAACUUUGUUGCGUCGGUAUAAAAAGUGUUGUAGGACCGAAAGAAUGCAAGCGGACGAUCUAGUCGGAGAGUUUCAACAAGACGUGCCCAGGCGCGUAUAGCUACGCCUACGACACUAAUAUCAGCACCUUCACAUGUCCUCGCUCCUCCAAUUUUGUCGUCACGUUUUGCCCGUCUAGCCUAACAAAACCAGAAAGUGAUUUCGUAGUUAGCUCCAGUACAAGUGAAGGUGCUCGUUACGUUAUCGUAAGCGUAGCUAUAGGCGUCAGGGCAAGCUUU